CAGCAGGCUCACUCUCCUCAAGGCAAGGCGGCAAUUACUUCCUGGUUACUUAAGACUUCUACCUCAGAAAAGCUCCGAGGAUCCACCUGUCGGUCUCCAGAAAGGGCUAAGAAUGAAUGACUGGCCUGAGAUCAUCCAGCUGGCUCCAUGCCUAAGGCUACUAAGUGGUCUUCUACUGCACUGCUCUGGAUAUGUCAGCAGUUUUCAAAAGCUCACCAAUCCAACAUGGCUCAUCUUCUACCUCCACUCCAAGUCUUAACUCACUUUUCUCUUUUCUCUUCCUGUCAACAAAUCAAAAAACCCUUUUUACUUCCCCUUCCCAGUGAGAAACCCGUUAUCUCCCAGCCUGUGCUUAUUAAAAGUAUGUCUGAGUUGUCUUAUGAUAGGAUAGAGGGCAGUAUUCAGUUACUGAUAAUAGUUGCAAUGGUGAAGGCUGUGUAAUAGAGUUAGGCUGCCUAGAUCAGGGGUCUCCAACCUUGGUCGCUUUAAGACUUGUGGACUUAAACUCCUAGAUCCCUCAGCCAGCAAAGCCCUGGCCUAGAUAACUAGGGGUUAAUUCCUCCUAUACUAAAAAUCUGCAAAAAUGAUAGGAUGCCAUAAUAUUAGUUUUGUUCCCAACUUUUUCUAGUGGUUUUACCAACACUUUGCUGCAGCAACAAAUUAGGAGAUGGUAAGAGAGGAGGGACACAUCCUCAACAAAAUGCAGGUUGCAGGAUUAUAACUUACUAAAGGCAUAUUUCCAUUCCUUGGAAUAACCAAAAUCCCCUCAAUAAUCACUCCAUACAAAAGGGGAAUAAGUAAUACCCCCCUACACACAAAUAUAUACCGGCACUUUUCCUUCCCAGUCCUCCCUUCUACAGAGAAGCGGGGAAAUUAACAUAAUUAAUUUCACCCUUAGAAGUCACAAAUCAUCAUUCCCUUAAACUAUCUACUAAGUCAACUGAAGUUCAAGAGCUCAGGGAAAAGCUAGAGUUCCUCCACAGAUGGGAAAAUGGGCUGCCUACAAGCCUUGCAAGAUUUCACUGUUAAAAAAAAGAUUGCUCUAUGUAUAUAUAAAGGAGAAAGAUGUUGCACUGCAGUAGAGAAAGGAAUAAUUUGACUCAGCUGCUAAACUUAACCAGUUGUAGAAAGUUAGCAUUCACCUCUCUCCUAGAAGAAUAAAAUAUUUUGGGAAAUAUUUAAGAAUGCAGAAUAUUAUAUUUCCCUAAAGGAGAAACAUGCUCUUCGAAAGCAUGUUAAUAGCCCCAGCAGGACUGGGCCAGCCUAUCUACAAGACAAAAGACUUUCAGCUCCAGGGUGAUGGGAUUAAGACAUGACCCCUUGGGACACAAUAGGAUUAUCUCUCUACCAUCUAGCAGCGGAGCUCACCACAUGGCACAACAAGCCCCUUCAUUGCAUCAGCAAGCUUCAACCAAGCCUGGGCUCAAACAGCCUACAAAGUUAGCAGUGACCCCUACAACAACAAUAGAAUACAUUUCUUGCACAGGAACAGGAAGCUCAAGGGCGAGGCCCAAGACAGAGUAUAAAUAACCCUCACUCUCCAAUACAUGAGGUCAGAUGCCCAGGACCUCAAACCCAUGUGGGUUCAUGAAUAAACCAUUUUUCCAAUCAGCCUCCAUGUUUCCAGUAUCUUUCUCCCUACUUGGAACUGAACCAAAUGGAUAUUUCU